rnacentral:lncRNA from 1 species
GGUGGACCGACCGCUCGAUCCACAGAUUCAGGGGCACGAUCCACUGGGAGCGAUUCGCGAUCUUUGGUGCGAUCUACGGUGGGUGGAAGAAAUAUUUCGUAAAUGAAUGGUGGAGAUUCAUUCUGAAUGAGAUCCAAUGGUUGCUAUUCGUUAUCGAUUGAAAAUAAAAAAUUUGAGCACCAUCCGACAGCCAAAAUUCAAUCCAUCACUCGAUCCGAUGGCUGGUAUUCAUCCCGACUGAGAAUAAGAGAGGUUUUGCACGAUCCGAUGGUCAGAAUUCAAUCAAGAGUGCGAUCCAACAGCUGU